rnacentral:rRNA from 1 species
AUUCCGAUAGUGGCGAAUUCGCCCUUGAGUUUGAUCAUGGCUCAGAGCGAACGCUGGCGGCAGGCUUAACACAUGCAAGUCGAGCGGGCGUAGCAAUACGUCAGCGGCAGACGGGUGAGUAACGCGUGGGAACGUACCUUUUGGUUCGGAACAGCACAGGGAAACUUGUGCUAAUACCGGAUAAGCCCUUACGGGGAAAGAUUUAUCGCCGAAAGAUCGGCCCGCGUCUGAUUAGCUAGUUGGUAGGGUAAUGGCCUACCAAGGCGACGAUCAGUAGCUGGUCUGAGAGGAUGAUCAGCCACAUUGGGACUGAGACACGGCCCAAACUCCUACGGGAGGCAGCAGUGGGGAAUAUUGGACAAUGGGGGCAACCCUGAUCCAGCCAUGCCGCGUGAGUGAUGAAGGCCCUAGGGUUGUAAAGCUCUUUUGUGCGGGAAGAUAAUGACGUACCGCAAGAAUG